rnacentral:tRNA from 1 species
GGUCUUAUAGUCUAAACAAGAUAGUAGACUGCAAUUCUACAGAUGUAAUAUUACUAAGGCUU